GCUCUAGUGACAUAAACAGUUAAGCACUUGGCUGCUAACCAAAAGGCUGGUGGCUCAAACCCACCCAGCAGCU
rnacentral:tRNA from 1 species